CUUCAGCGAGCCGAGCCACAGCGGCUCGUCGCCCGCGCGCUCCUGGCCGUAGGUGGCGAGGAGCGCCUGGGCCUC
rnacentral:antisense_RNA from 1 species